rnacentral:rRNA from 1 species
CGCGUAGGCGGCCUUCUAAGUCGAACGUGAAAUCCCUGGGCUCAACCCAGGAACUGCGUCCGAUACUGAAAGGCUUGAAUCCGGGAGAGGGAUGCGGAAUUCCAGGUGUAGCGGUGAAAUGCGUAGAUAUCCGGAGGAACACCGGUGGCGAAGGCGGCAUCCUGGACCGGUAUUGACGCUGAGGCGCGAAAGCCAGGGGAGCAAACG